GAUGCUUGAUGACAUUUAGUGGGAAGCACCCAUCCUGUUAUUGUCCUAAUGUUGCGUUUUACAGUCAGACAGAGAGCUAGAGAGAAACUCCUACGCGUCGCCUUUGGAGGAAGCAAAUCCCUCUAUUUUAUCAUUUCCAAAUGCAUCAUUUUCCCGAGAGUGGGGGAAGCUUUCUAUUUCGACGUUCUUCCUUCCUCAUCAGUCUGAGGCCAUCUGAGCUCAUCACUGCCCUCCACACUUGAGCCCCAAGCUUCCAUUGAAUUCCGCUGCAAUGCCCACUCGUAUUCCCUCACAUUUUUUCCCUGAACCGCCCGGUUGACUGCACGACACACCGUCAAUCCGAAUGAAAAUAAACAGCAGCUGGAAGUGGUUCUCUUCCUCCCUGCCUUGGCCAAAGAUUGCAGGCCUUCACUGGACCUGGCUGGUACCGCGCUGAGGCGGGAAGCCGAGCGGCUGUGAGGAACCUCCGGUCCAACCCGAAACCAGACAGUUCACAGACGCCGCUGCCAGAGUUGGAUCAGUCACAUGACGUCAGUCGGUGACAAACCACUUGACCCGUGUUAUGAGUUUUAAAGUAAAUCCCUGCCGGUUACCAUGGAAGAAUGGAGCACCUUCAUGGAAAAAAAAAA